rnacentral:rRNA from 1 species
CACGUAGGGUGCGAGCGUUGUCCGGAAUUAUUGGGCGUAAAGAGCUCGUAGGCGGUUUGUCGCGUCUGCUGUGAAAACUCGGGGCUUAACCCCGGGCCUGCAGUGGGUACGGGCAGACUAGAGUGCGGUAGGGGAGACUGGAAUUCCUGGUGUAGCGGUGAAAUGCGCAGAUAUCAGGAGGAACACCGGUGGCGAAGGCGGCCACCUGGACGGUAACUGACGCUGAGACGCGAAAGCGUGGGGAGCAAACAGG